GAAAGUGGAACAGACAGCAACAAAGCUCUUGGUUAUAUCUGUGAUAAUAAAAAUGAAGGUCAUUGUCAUUUGUCUGGUUGCUUUACUCUUCAUCAAUUAUCGUGAGGCUUUGUCAUGCUUUGCAUGUUUUGGAAAAAACUGUUCAGCUAGACGAGAGGAAUGUGGCUCUCGUUUGUAGAAUCCUGUCUGUGCCACCGUCGAUGCUCCCACCUUUUAUGUGAAAGGCUGCAUGAGUGAGUACAUCUGUAGGCAGCAACAGCAGGCUCCAAAUACAAAAGCUACCUGCUGCAGUUACAACUACUGCAACUGAUAAGGAGGACAUCAGUCAUGGAGAUCUCUCUACAUGAAGCUAAAAUCCAGCUCACAAUUAUAUUUCCUGUAAAACAAAUACAAUGUGUACAUUUCAGGCAGCUGCAAUAAUUAAUUUGUUUUGUUAAGCAAUGGGAAUUUGUAUU